CAGAAAGCUACGUUGUCACAGGCUGUACUGCCUACAGUGUGAGCUGAACUAUAUUAUUCCAAAUAGAGUUGAAGAAAACAAAUCACGUUCCUGACUCAAUCUUGUAUCCUGCACAGCCAGACAACGCACGUUCACCUCUUCCUUAAUAAGCAGGAAACUAGGGGCUCUGUGAAUUUGCCAUUCUAUAUCCAGUCUUCAUUUAAAAAUGUCUUUGGUCCCUGAGGGUUAAGAUGCAUUGGGAAAGCUGGAUUGUAUCCAAAACUGUAAGGAUUUAGUCUGUGGGCGUGUGUUCCCCUGGUACAUGUUCUUGGCUUUUAGAAAGAUACUUUGCCACAAAUCACACAAGAUCCUUUAGCCCUCUCCAAACGUUAACC